CUACGGGUCGCUCCAGUGGGGAAUAUUGCACAAUGGAGGAAACUCUGAUGCAGCAACGCCGCGUGGAGGAUGACACUUUUCGGAGCGUAAACUCCUUUUAUAUAGGAAGAAGAUGACGGUACUAUAUGAAUAAGCGCCGGCUAACUCCGUGCCAGCAGCCUCGGUAAUACGGAGGGCGCAAGCGUUACUCGGAAUCACUGGGCGUAAAGAGCGUGUAGGCGGAUUAAAAAGUCAGAAGUGAAAUCCUAUAGCUUAACUAUAGAACUGCUUCUGAAACUCUUAAUCUAGAAUAUGGGAGGGGUAGAUGGAAUUUCUGGUGUAGGGGUAAAAUCCGUAGAGAUCAGAAGGAAUACCGAUUGCGAAGGCGAUCUACUAGAACAUUAUUGACGCUGAGACGCGAAAGCGUGGGGAGCAAACAGGAUUAGAUACCCCGGUAGUC
rnacentral:rRNA from 1 species